rnacentral:tRNA from 1 species
UCCCAUGUGGCUCAGUUGGUGGAGCAUGGUGUUUGCAAUGCCAGGGUUGUGGGUUCGAUUCCCACGGGGGAC